UUUCUGUGGCUAAGUUGGUAGAGCAUCGCUCUAAAAAUGCAAAGGUCGUGGGUUUCAAAUCCCAGGGAAAG